CUGAUUGAGAUUUUAACACGAAGUGAGUGGCGAACGGGUGAGUAACACGUGGGUAACCUGCCCAGAAGUAGGGGAUAACACCUGGAAACAGAUGCUAAUACCGUAUAACAGAGAAAACCGCAUGGUUUUCUUUUAAAAGAUGGCUCUGCUAUCACUUCUGGAUGGACCCGCGGCGUAUUAGCUAGUUGGUGAGGUAAAGGCUCACCAAGGCAGUGAUACGUAGCCGACCUGAGAGGGUAAUCGGCCACAUUGGGACUGAGACACGGCCCAGACUCCUACGGGAGGCAGCAGUAGGGAAUCUUCCACAAUGGACGCAAGUCUGAUGGAGCAACGCCGCGUGAGUGAAGAAGGGUUUCGGCUCGUAAAGCUCUGUUGUUAAAGAAGAACGUGGGUAAGAGUAACUGUUUACCCAGUGACGGUAUUUAACCAGAAAGCCACGGCUAACUACGUGCCAGCAGCCGCGGUAAUACGUAGGUGGCAAGCGUUAUCCGGAUUUAUUGGGCGUAAAGCGAGCGCAGGCGGUCUUUUAAGUCUAAUGUGAAAGCCUUCGGCUCAACCGAAGAAGUGCAUUGGAAACUGGGAGACUUGAGUGCAGAAGAGGACAGUGGAACUCCAUGUGUAGCGGUGAAAUGCGUAGAUAUAUGGAAGAACACCAGUGGCGAAGGCGGCUGUCUGGUCUGCAACUGACGCUGAGGCUCGAAAGCAUGGGUAGCGAACAGGAUUAGAUACCCUGGUAGUCCAUGCCGUAAACGAUGAUUACUAAGUGUUGGAGGGUUUCCGCCCUUCAGUGCUGCAGCUAACGCAUUAAGUAAUCCGCCUGGGGAGUACGACCGCAAGGUUGAAACUCAAAAGAAUUGACGGGGGCCCGCACAAGCGG
rnacentral:rRNA from 1 species